rnacentral:hammerhead_ribozyme from 1 species
GUACUGAUGAAGAGUUCCAUGCUAGGACGAAACAGCUUUCCAGUAC